rnacentral:rRNA from 1 species
UACGAAGGGGACUAGCGUUGUUCGGAAUUACUGGGCGUAAAAGCGCACGUAGGCGGAUUUGUAAGUCAGGGGUGAAAUCCCGGGGCUCAACCUCGGAACUGCCUUUGAUACUGCAAAUCUCGAGUCCGAUAGAGGUGGGUGGAAUUCCUAGUGUAGAGGUGAAAUUCGUAGAUAUUAGGAAGAACACCGGUGGCGAAGGCGGCCCACUGGAUCGGUACUGACGCUGAGGCGCGAAAGCUAGGGUAGCAAACGGG